UAAAAGUUUUGAAAACCAUGCAUCGUUUUCCUUUAAGUCCAAAACAAUGCACAACUUUGUUUUGGUCAAUCACAGGAAAUCCUAAUAAAUAUACUGACGUUUGCAGCUGUAACUCCACAAAGUCUGGAGAAAAAAGGGAGUGAAUACUUCCACAAGGUGCUUAUAACCAACAGCGAUUAACCCGAGCGAUUUUUGACUUUGCGUUUCAGAAGGCAGCGCUGCGGCAGCCCUGGAAAAGCUGCGAGAGUUCGAUUCAAAGUCGGCCUGCUCCCACAACAUCCUCGCUAAACACAUCGAGUCUAAGUGAACUGUGUCCAGAUGGAGUUCUGCUCGCUCUCUUCGCCAGCGGCUCAGAGCCGGCCUUCGGGGCCGAGCGGAGGAUGUGCACAGAGGAGAGGAGGAGACGAGUGGAGGGUGUUGGAGCGCGAGACCGGCCCCGUCUCUCCGCCUGUCUAUUUGAGCGCGGCUCCAACUUUAAUGAAGAAGAAGAAGAAAAAAAAAGAAACACUCCUCUAAAGUGUGAUCUAAGUGUUCGAGUGCACACUCUGCACAUUCCCUAAUUAAGAAGUCUACAGGGAUACUCCUUGAAAGCUUGGUGCAUAUACAGUGGUUGAGUGUAUGUAGAUAGAUGGAGUCCUGGGAAGCUGAGUAAUGCACUGCACUCCACCAGCUGAACACAAGCAGGAUUUAAAGCAGAAACUGGAGCCACAGAGGGAACGCCGAGACUCGCCUUGGGGUUCAUCCCAAAGUUAAUUUAGUUGACUCUGUUUAAAGGGGCGUUUUGAAGUUAACUCACCUUGUGUUCCCAGUGUCUGUGCUGCAUCAUCGAAAAGUACAGUGCAGGUACUUAUGCUGCGAUCUAACUUAUGCCUUAUACAAAACGU